UUCUACGUGUCUUCAGUCGAAUCACAGAGUAGGCAGAGGCAGGUAGUGAAAGACCCCAGUGGGGAGACCCCCACUCAAGUCCCGAGAUGGCCCGCACACCCAAGGAAUCACGAGAGACA
rnacentral:pre_miRNA from 7 species